rnacentral:rRNA from 1 species
CCUACGGGUGGCUGCAGUGAGGAAUAUUGGUCAAUGGACGAGAGUCUGAACCAGCCAAGUAGCGUGAAGGAUGACUGCCCUAUGGGUUGUAAACUUCUUUUAUAUGGGAAUAAAAUGUUCCACGUGUGGGAUUUUGUAUGUACCAUAUGAAUAAGGAUCGGCUAACUCUGUGCCAGCAGCCGCGGUAAUACGGAGGAUCCGAGCGUUAUCCGGAUUUAUUGGGUUUAAAGGGAGCGUAGGUGGAUUGUUAAGUCAGUUGUGAAAGUUUGCGGCUCAACCGUAAAAUUGCAGUUGAAACUGGCAGUCUUGAGUACAGUAGAGGUGGGCGGAAUUCGUGGUGUAGCGGUGAAAUGCUUAGAUAUCACGAAGAACUCCGAUUGCGAAGGCAGUUCACUGGACUGUAACUGACACUGAGGCUCGAAAGUGUGGGUAUCAAACAGUAUUAGAUACCCGUGUAGUC